GAUGAAGAACGCAGCGGAAUGCGAUAAGUAAUGUGAAUUGCAGAAUUCAGUGAAUCAUCGAAUCUUUGAACGCACAUUGCGCCCGCCAGUAUUCUGGCGGGCAUGCCUGUUCGAGCGUCAUUACAACCCUCAGGCCCCCGGGCCUGGCGUUGGGGAUCGGCGGAGCCCCCCGUGGGCACACGCCGUCCCCCAAAUGCAGUGGCGGUCCCGCCGCAGCUUCCAUCGCGUAGUAGCUAACACCUCGCGACUGGAGAGCGGCGCGGCCACGCCGUAAAACCCCCAACUCUUCUGAAGUUGACCUCGAAUCAGGUAGGAAUACCCGCUGAACUUAAGCAUAUCAAUAAGCGGAGGA
rnacentral:misc_RNA from 1 species